AGCAGGAACAUGAGGAAAGGAUGACAACGCUGCAAUGAACGAGGUGUAAGGGUCAUUAUUGAUUCCUCCAUAUUCUGGACAAAUCAUCGUGGCAGGCAUUCAACCCUCGCAUCAGGUGGUCAGUCGAAGGACAUUUCCUCAACAAUGGUCUGGAUGAGGCUAUUAGUGCUGUCUCUAUUUCACAUGUCUCUGGUUGGGUCACAGCCCACCCAGAGUUCACAACAGGCAUCUAGCCCCCCUGCCCCCGCAGAAGAACAAUCUCCUUUGGGUGCUGGCAAUCUGCCUUUCCCUUGGAGCCGCCUUCGCCUGCCAAGGUACAUCAUUCCUCUUCACUACCAUCUCCUCCUGCACCCAAACCUCACAAGUCUCAGUUUCACUGGCUCGGUGCAGAUCCAGAUUGAUGUCCAGAACAACACAAACUGGGUUGUAUUACACAGCAAGGGUCUGCGGAUCUCCAAGGCCACCAUAGUAAACCAGAACCUCGCUCAUCUGUCUGAUCAGGUUCUUCCAGUUCUUCAUAACCCUUCCCAUGAGCAGAUUGGCAUUUUCUCUCCCAGGGUGCUCAGCAGUGGGCAAAAGUACUUCCUGCAUAUUGAGUUUGGGGCAGAAUUGGCCGAAGGCUUCGAUGGCUUCUAUAGGAGCGCCUACAGAACCAGCACAGGGAAGACCAGAACCUUAGCUUCAACUCACUUUGAGCCCACGAGUGCUCGCAUGGCGUUCCCUUGUUUCGAUGAGCCCAGCUUCAAAGCUAACUUCUCCGUACGGAUCAGGAGGAGUCCAGAGUACAUUUCUCUGUCCAACAUGCCUGUCGUCAAGACGCUUGAAGUAGACGAAGGCCUGCUUGAGGACCAGUUUGAUGCAAGUGUAAAGAUGAGCACUUACCUCGUAGCUUUUGUCAUCUGUGACUUCAAAUCUGUCACGGCAACGACAUCAUCUGGGGUGCAGGUGUCCAUCUAUGCCUCCCCUGAGACGUGGAUGCAAACUCGCUAUGCCCUGGAGGUUGCUGUCAAAAUGCUCGACUUCUACGAGGAAUAUUUCAACAUCCGCUAUCCUCUACCCAAACAAGAUCUGAUAGCCAUCCCAGACUUUGGGUCUGGUGCGAUGGAGAACUGGGGUCUGACCACCUACAGGGAGACCAGCCUACUCUUUGAUCCCCUCACGUCCUCCAUUUCUGAUAAACUCUGGGUCACCAUGGUGAUCGGACAUGAGCUUGCCCAUCAGUGGUUUGGUAACUUGGUGACCAUGGAGUGGUGGAACGAUAUCUGGCUGAAUGAAGGAUUUGCCAGAUACAUGGAGUACAUCUCAGUGGAGGCCACCUACCCUGACCUCAAAGUGGAGGAGUAUCUUCUGGACACCUGUUUUUCAGCCAUUGGUCAUGAUUCGUUGAACUCUUCUCGGCCAAUAUCCAGCCCAGCAGAGAACCCGACUCAGAUCAAGCAGAUGUUUGACGCAGUCUCCUAUGACAAAGGAGCAUGUGUCCUCCACAUGCUGCGACACUUUCUGACAGACGAUGUGUUCCAGCGGGGGAUUGUUCGAUACCUCCGCAAAUACAGCUACAGAAAUGCACACAACCAGGACCUGUGGGACAGCCUCGCCAAUACAUGCUCCGAGGAGGACUUUAUCUCAGGAAAACAUUGUUACGGCAGCCGCCAGGCCUCCAAGAAUGCCUACCUGUUUGCAGGGGAGCACAUGGACCUGACCGCCAUGAUGGACACUUGGAUUGUGCAGAAAGGUAUUCCUCUGGUAACUGUAACUAGGAAAGGGCCCCAUCUGCUGCUCCGACAGGACAGGUUCCUGAGGACAGUGCUGCCGUCUGACGGUCUCUGGUCCACUUUGCAACAGGGUUUCCUUUGGCACAUCCCCCUGACAUACAAGACAGAUGCUUCCAGCACCACCCACAGACACUUGAUGACAACACACACAGACAGUAUACAUAUAGGAGAGGAGGUCAGCUGGGUGAAAGUAAACACUGACAUGACAGGCUAUUAUGUGGUUCAUUAUGAGGAUGGCGGUUGGGACGAGAUGACAAAACUACUGAGGGAAAACCACACUGCUCUCAGCUACAAAGACAGGACUCACUUAAUACACAACGCCUUUCAAUUGAUCACGUCAGGUCAUCUGCCUCUCGAUAAAGGCUUAGACUUGAUUGGUUACCUGCAAUUGGAGACGCACACUGUGCCUCUUCUACAAGGACUAGGCUAUCUGGAGGCCUUUUACCGGAUGAUUGAGAAAAAGAAUGACUUUGAUGUAAUAAGCAACCUGGGGAUGUACAUCCUGCGAUUUUUCCGUUCGAUCAUUGACCGGCAGACGUGGAGCGACGGGGGCUCCGUGUCUGAGCGACGGCUGAGGUCACAGGUCCUGUCACUGGCUUGCCACCUGGAGGACCCUCCCUGUCUGGAGCGGGCAAAUCAGACCUUCAAAGACUGGCUUCAGUCCAACGGUACACUCAACUUGCCAACUGACGUGGCAGAGACUGUGUUUUCAGUUGGAGCUCGGGAUGACCACGGCUGGCGUUCACUCCUUCACACAUACAACAUCUCUCUCUUUGCAGCACAAAAAAGCAAAGUCCUGUUUGCUUUGACCUGCAGCAGAGACACAAACAAACUACACAAGUACAUCGACUCCCCCAAUACAUUUUUACACAGUUAAUGCUGUCACCAUGUGGCAGACAUGGGGUACUACAGCCAACAGAUAUCCAAUAUUUAUUGUGUGUCUAGUUACGGAUCUGCUAAACAUCUUCCAGUGGUGGCUCUUUGAGUGAUGGCAGAUGAUGGGGCGUGACUAGAGCAGGUUACAUUGUGUGUUCCUGUGAUCCAGACUGCUGGAGUUGGGUCUUGAAGGGAAGGUGAUUCGAUCCCAGGACCUGUCCUUUCUCAUCCUGAUGGUGGCCAGGAACCCGCGGGGACAUCGCCUCGCCUGGAACUUUGUCAAAAAGAACUGGGACACGCUGGUUCAAAGGUUCCAGUUGGGCUCCUCUUGUAUUGGAAACAUCCUCAUAAGCACCACAGGCCAGUUUUCAUCUCCAGAGGAACUCACUGAAGUGCAGCUGUUCUUUGAGUCCAUCAAAGAUCAGGCGUCUCAGCUGAGAGCAGCUCAGGUUGCCCUGGACAACGUGCAGAAAAAUGUCCGCUGGUUUCAGAGGAACCUCGAGACUCUGAGAAGCUGGUUGAACAAACAAUUGCAGUGAAAGACAGCAGAAAGAGAACCGGUGGUUAACGUUUUUAUUUGCUUAUAGUAAUGUGUUCGAUAUCACAGAAGAGCUGACCGUUUUGUAUAUAAUUAGUAUUUUGUUAAUUAGCAGGGGAUUUAUUCGUGAGACCCAGAUUGAGAGUGAUUAUAUGCUGGGUAGUCUACUUACUAUUCAUUGUACCUCCUGGCACCUUUGUGUGUGUUGCUGAAAAUUAUACUUGUGUGGAAUACA